GAUGAACGCUGGCGGCGUGCCUAAUACAUGCAAGUAGAACGCUGAAGGAGGAGCUUGCUUCUCUGGAUGAGUUGCGAACGGGUGAGUAACGCGUAGGUAACCUGCCUGGUAGCGGGGGAUAACUAUUGGAAACGAUAGCUAAUACCGCAUAAGAGUAGAUGUUGCAUGACAUUUGCUUAAAAGGUGCAAUUGCAUCACUACCAGAUGGACCUGCGUUGUAUUAGCUAGUUGGUGGGGUAACGGCUUACCAAGGCGACGAUACAUAGCCGACCUGAGAGGGUGAUCGGGCACACUGGGACUGGGACACGGCCCAGACUCCUACGGGAGGCAGCAGUAGGGAAUCUUCGGCAAUGGACGGAAGUCUGACCGAGCAACGCCGCGUGAGUGAAGAAGGUUUUCGGAUCGUAAAGCUCUGUUGUAAGAGAAGAACGAGUGUGAGAGUGGAAAGUUCACACUGUGACGGUAUCUUACCAGAAAGGGACGGCUAACUACGUG
rnacentral:rRNA from 1 species